GCAGUCCGUCAUUUCUAUUCAGUGUACAUCACCUGAGGAAACUGUCUCAAAAAUAGUUUAUCUAAGACCGAUGGUUUAUGAUAUAGAAAUGGAGAGCAUCAGUCACAAAGCAUUCUUAAAUUCCAGCUGCCAUUCCUAGGGGCUCGUGCCAUCUGGACCUCCUGGGACUGGUGAUUGCUGAUGGUUGGAAAUAUGUGGACCGCCACGGCUGCUACUCCUGCAUUUGUAACGAUGGCCUGCUCAACUGCACGGACAAUGUCUGUGAGACUCGACGUCAGGUGGUCAACACCUGCAAAGGUCCGGAUGGACAGGUCUACACCAAUGGACAGACUAUAAAAGAUGCUGAUGGCUGCAACUAUUGCACCUGUCAUAAUGGAAUGCUGCCUGCACUGACAUGACAUGUGCUGGAUGCUAUGAUGCGAUCUCUGGUGUCUGGCGACAGCAGCACAGCACCUUCCUCAGCGCUGACGGAUGCAGCAACUGCGUCUGCACAAACUCAAAAAUCUUGUGUACACAGCGAGCUUGCAUUGGUGGAAAAUAAAACUGCCGAUAUAA